rnacentral:rRNA from 1 species
AGGUUUAAACGGCCGCGGUAUACCUGACCGUGCAAAGGUAGCAUAAUCACUCGCCUUUUAAUUGUAGGCUCGUAUGAAUGGAUAAACGAGGGACCUUCUGUCUCAUAAAGACAAACUAUAAAUUAAUCUUUAGGUGAAGAAGCCUGAAUACAUUUAAAAGACAAGAAGACCCUAUAGAGUUUUACUUACUUAACACCUAUUUUAAAAUAUCAAUAUUUAAAUCAAAAUUAAUAAGUUUAGUUGGGGCGACUAAGGAACACAUAAACCUUCCUUUAUAUAAAGAACUAAUUCAAUAUUAUGAUCCUAAGAAGACUAUUAAAAACAUAUUACCUUAGGGAUAACAGGCUAAUCUCCCCAGAGAGUCCAAAUUGACGGGGAGGGUUGGCACCUCGAUGUUGGCUU